CGAGAGGUACCGGUCCUCUGGUGACACCUCGUAGUUGGGCGACCCUGGUAGGUCGUAGUGUGGCGGCGUUGUCGGCUCUUCGUAGGCUGGCGGUGGCGGCGACAGGUACCGGUCCUCCGGUGACACCUCGUAGUAUGGCGGAGGUGGAGACUCUUGGUAAGCUGGGGGUGGCGGUGACUGGUACCGGUCCUCCGGCGACACCUCGUAGUGGGGUGGAGGUGGAGACUCUUGGUAAGCCGGGGGUGGCGGUGAGUGGUACCGGUCCUCCGGUGACACCUCGUAGUAGGGAGCUGGCACCUCGUAGUGGGGAGGCGUUGUCGGCUCUUGGUACGCUGGAGGUGGCGGCGAGAGGUACCUUUCCUCAGGUGAGACCUCGUAGUACGGAGGUGGGGGUAAUGGGGACGGGGGCGGAGGUGAAGGUGGUGGAGGAGACGGGGUUGGUGGAGGAGGCGAUGGCGGCGGUGGUGAAGGUGGCGGUGGAGAUGGGGAUGGGGAUGGCGGAGGAGGUGGCGGCGACGGCAACACGAACUUCUUGCACCUGAAGGCGUCGCAGUUGACAUGGUUGCUGUUGAAGAAUUGACACUGCUCGAUUGACCUCUGGUCAGGGCGGUUCGGGAUGCAGUUUCGGCGAUCGUCCAAUGCCUUGACGUGCAUGCACACCGGCGGCUCGCCGGUGAUGUAGUUGUAGGAGUAGGUGAAGUUGUGGAGAUGCGGCAGGUGGCAGAUCCCCUCCGGCAC
rnacentral:lncRNA from 1 species